GAUGAACGCUGGCGGCGUGCCUAAUACAUGCAAGUCGAGCGAACAGAUAAGGAGCUUGCUCCUUUGAAGUUAGCGGCGGACGGGUGAGUAACACGUGGGUAACCUACCUAUAAGACUGGGAUAACUUCGGGAAACCGGAGCUAAUACCGGAUAACAUUAAUAACCGCAUGGAUCUAAAGUGAAAGAUGGUUUUGCUAUCACUUAUAGAUGGACCCGCGCCGUAUUAGCUAGGUGGUAAGGCAACGGCUUACCAAGGCGACGAUACGUAGCCGACCUGAGAGGGUGAUCGGCCACACUGGAACUGAUACACGGUCCAGACUCCUACAGGAGGCAGCACUACGGAAUCUUCCGCAAUGGGCGAAAGCCUGACGGAGCAACGCCGCGUGAGUGAUGAAGGGUUUCGGCUCGUAAAACUCUGUUAUUAGGGAAGAACAAAUGUGUAAGUAACUGUGCACAUCUUGACAGUGCCUAAUCGGAAAGCCACGGCUAACUACGUGCCAGCAGCCGCGGUAAUACGUAUGUGGCAAGCGUUAUCCGGAAUUAUUGGGCGUAAAGCGCGCGUAGGCGGUUUCUUAGUCUGAUGUGAAAGCCCACGGCUCAACCGUGGAGGGUCAUUGGAAACUGGGAAACUUGAGUGCAGAAGAGGAAAGUGGAAUUCCAUGUGUAGCGGUGAAAUGCGCAGAGAUAUGGAGGAACACCAGUGGCGAAGGCGACUUUCUGGUCUGUAACUGACGCUGAUGUGCGAAAGCGUGGGGAUCAAACAGGAUUAGAUACCCUGGUAGUCCACGCCGUAAACGAUGAGUGCUAAGUGUUAGGGGGUUUCCGCCCCUUAGUGCUGCAGCUAACGCAUUAAGCACUCCGCCUGGGGAGUACGACCGCAAGGUUGAAACUCAAAGGAAUUGACGGGGACCCGCACAAGCGGUGGAGCAUGUGGUUUAAUUCGAAGCAACGCGAAGAACCUUACCAAAUCUUGACAUCCUUUGAAAACUCUAGAGAUAGAGCCUUCCCCUUCGGGGGACAAAGUGACAGGUGGUGCAUGGUUGUCGUCAGCUCGUGUCGUGAGAUGUUGGGUUAAGUCCCGCAACGAGCGCAACCCUUAAGCUUAGUUGCCAUCAUUAAGUUGGGCACUCUAGGUUGACUGCCGGUGACAAACCGGAGGAAGGUGGGGAUGACGUCAAAUCAUCAUGCCCCUUAUGAUUUGGGCUACACACGUGCUACAAUGGACAAUACAAAGGGCAGCUAAACCGUGAGGUCAUGCAAAUCCCAUAAAGUUGUUCUCAGUUCGGAUUGUAGUCUGCAACUCGACUACAUGAAGCUGGAAUCGCUAGUAAUCGUAGAUCAGCAUGCUACGGUGAAUACGUUCCCGGGUCU
rnacentral:rRNA from 1 species